rnacentral:rRNA from 1 species
UACGUAGGGUGCGAGCAUUGUCCGGAAUCACUGGGCGUAAAGGGAGCGUAGGCGGGUUCUUAAGUUAGGUGUUUAAUCCCGGGGCCCAACCCCGGACCGGCACUUAAAACUGGGAAUCUUGAAUAGUGGAGAGGUCGGUGGAAUUGGAGGUGUAGCGGUGGAAUGCGUAGAGAUCUCCAAGAACACCAGUUGCGAAGGCGGCCGACUGGACACAUAUUGACGCUGAGGCUCGAAAGCAUGGGGAGCAAACAGG